GAGCCUCAUAUAGCUGAAGGGACGGCAGCCUCACGCUCCGUGUUCUGCCUUGCAGGUUCAGCACCACCUUCUCCAGCACACUCUGCAGCAGCUGGAUGGAGGAUGGGCUCUCAGACAGAACUACUCAAGAUUAUCUGUGAGACUUACAACAUAGCUCAAGGAGACUAAGCUUUUACUUCAGUCUUGACUCCCUGAAGCUGCUCUAUACCACAGCAGAUCUUCCCAUCACUUCUCAGUUGGCUCUGCGAUACCAUCCUCAGCACUAUUUUCUGUCUGCAGAGCAUUUCUGUAGUUCAGAAGUGCCAAGGCUCACUCACAGCUGGUGCCUCCAAGUAUCGUCAUCCAAACUCACCAGGAUUUGGUAUCAGAGAGCUGCUGAUUUUCCUCACUAGCCACAGCAAGAAUUUCUUAGUGAGAGCAAUUUUAACACUCUUACACCAGCUUCGUACUCUUGGCAUGGAGGAAAAGGUGGUGGAAACAAUCCUGGCACCAUGGCAAAUAAUGCUGGUCAUUUGUGCUGCAGUGCUGAUCAUGAGCUUCCUUAUGGUCCUGCCCCCUGCAGUAGUGGUGAUCUGGAGGAUGAAGCGUGUGCCUCAGAUCUCACUGCAUGGCUCGGUGUGAGCCAGCCACACAUUCUUUCGAAGGCUGCUUCAGAACUAUGAAAUCUCUCAAGAUCACCAUUACUGCUCAAGGUCCAUCCCAAACUCACUGUUUUCCUGCUCCAUCGCUGUUAAGUCCCAGUAAAAAGGGAAUGUGUCAGAUUUUGUUUUCAUUUGAUGCAGGGCUUUUCCUUCCUUUUUCUGUCUACGCUGUAUUAUUGUUGGUAAUGUAAGUAAUACACUUAAUUCCUACAUCGUCAUUUUCUCUUUCACUAUAAUGAACUGAAAACAAUACUGAAAAGUAAGCACUGUACAGUAUUGUAUUCCCUUAACUAGUAACCAGUGAAGUUUGCCUCUCUGUAGUUACGCUGCAAAUAUUACCAAAGCCUUCGAGAUCACUGACAAGUUGUGGAUGUAUCAAAGUAAGCAGUAUAGCCUGGGGAGCUGAUGGUUUAGUCUGGGUGUACUAUGAAACCUACAAAAAUUGGGAAUGGUGCAACGAAUAAGCAUCUCGUUCUUAUUUUUCUGAUUUGAAGUUAUCGGCAUAUAAUGUUGCUUUACUGCGAUAUGAAUAUUCUCUUUGUUAUAUCCUGAGUGUCAGGAUGCAAAGCCUUUCCUGCUCCAGAGGUGAAACAAGAGGCUUAGCUCAAUGCUCAGACAUGCCCAGCCAGAUGCCAGCUCGUAGUUAAUGCAAGCAUACGGCAACUAUUUCCUUAAAUUACAUUAUGCAAAUUUAGUCUGGGAAGUAACGUCAUUAAAUUUACUUUAGUUUUUAACUGUGUUGUACAGGCUUAUUGGUUCAACUGCCCCUUCUCACAUAUAAAUAACAAAUUGGAUGGUGGGAAUAGAGCAAAACUACUUCUCUGCAAUUUUAUAACAAUAAUAAUUUUCAGCUUAAUAUCAAAUUCAUGCAAUAUCAUAUUAAAGCCUUCCAGCCUGUUUCUUCCACAUUAAGUGAAGCUUAUUAGUAAGAUUUUUUAUGCAAAGAUUUAACAGUUCCUAUUACUUUAUAAGAAGAAUGGGCUUGAGUUCCUUAUGAAGUCCAAUACUGUGUUUCUUUUCCUUUGUUAGUUAGUUUGGAAAGUUGAUAGAUUAGCUCAAUAAAACUCAGGAAAUUAUUUUUAGUACCAGUAAAAAAAUGAUAAUGGAAAGCGCUCAGUGCCGCUGGCAGAUAUUGCAUUUGAGCAUCAGCUGAUAAUGAUUUGGCUGGAAAUGAAAGACUCGAGGACAUUAUAACUUCGUUUGAUACAGACAAUUUGUUUGUCAGAAAUAAACACCAAUCUCUGAAAAACAUACAGCAUUUUUUCUCACAAAUGCCGUAAUUUAAACUACAGCCUUACAGCUCCUAUGCAGCCAAAGCAGUCAACUCGUCCCUUGCUUGAUGUAAUUACUACACUAACAAAUAGUCAUAUGACUGGCUGGUUCUGGGUCCAAAAACAGCGGGUGGAUUUUUGCUUGCAAUAACAGCAUAAUAAGCCUGAAAGGCAGUGUGUAAUUUUUCCUAAAUAAUAUUACUUACUUGAAUCAUUUAAGCAGUUAAUGGGGAUUAAGUUCAACUAAACAUCAUGUAUACUGUAAUUGCUGUCUGCAUCUGAAAGAUUCACAAGAAGAGGGAGGAGGUAAAGAGAAAGGAAAUACGAACGGAUGGGCUGGUUGUCUUCAGACUCAUGGCUUCAAUGUUUGCUCAACAGAUGAAAAGUAAAACAAAACCCUGAGCUCAGAUUCCACUGAAAACCAAGCAAGCAAUAACUAAGCUUUCUGUUUAGAUUUCAUCAUAAUUCACAUACACGUCUGCAAUGUAGCAACAGCUCCACAAAUAAACAGCAUUUCCAGCA